GGAGAAGAGGCUCAGGCAUGGCGGGCUGCAGGUCCGGAGCCCUGCCCCGCGGGGAGGCACCUAAGGCCCCGCGAGAAAUCGAGCGCAGCGCCGGUAGGCUGGCACUGCUGGGGGACCCAGCGCACCCUCCUCAGCUGCUGGCCCGGUUGCUAAACCCUGCUGGUCCGGGUGCUAAGCUCCUCAUUGCCCAGGGAGGCGGGGCCCGCCAAACCCACGCCAACCCGGAACUCUAGCUGGCCCGCAAGGGCUACGCGCAGCCCCGGUUCCUGCCCGUGCCUCUCCCUCCGCACUUCCCCUCAGGCUGAGGGAGCUGGCUCCUGCCUCGGCCAUCCCAGGAAGAGGCUCCCACAGUGCAGCGACGGGCUGAAGGGCUCCUCAGGCGCGGCCAGAGUGGGCGCCCAGGCCGAGGAGGCGCCAAGAGCGAGCGAGGGCUGCGACGACUGCCAGCAUGCUGUCACCUCUCACUAUGACUGUCUGGGAUCUGCUUUAUAAAUAAACAAGCCUAAAGAAGCAAGAAAGAGAUGACAACCUAUGAAAGAUGUCAGAAUGGAUUUAUGGAGAAAAUAAUAAUCCUACAGGCUGGCAUAGAAGGCUUGUUAAGGCACUUUCAGACAUAGCUUCCUACAAUUAUCCUCAUCUCAUGGAAAAACUAGACAGAGGAAAAGAAAAGAGGCAAAUGGAGCUUCCUUUGCUAAGAGCUCAAAUAACUCUCCUCUACAUAGUCUUCUUCAAACAAAAACACAAAGCUAAUUUUCCAUUUACUCUUUGAGAGUUCCACAGAAAAACAAAAAAACCAAGUGACAUUAAUUGAUACUGGACACAAUCUGUGAUAUCAGUGAUUAAGUUGGAGUUAUGCAAGUGGAUCAUUUGCCACCAACCAGAAAAUAAGGAUUCCUUUCAAGUGGAUGUGGGAUAUGAAUAUUUUUUGGCACAAGACAGUAGUUCAAUUGGUAAAAAUUUCAUCAAUGGUGACUUUGGAGAAUGUCAUGUUGCAGGUGAAUGUCCUAACCAGGACAAUAUUCAUGCAUUUGAAAAAUCCAGCGUGAGAAACAUAGAAAGGAAGAAGACCAUCACCAGAGAACGGGGCCAUAGCAGGCAUAAAAGCAACAAUUUAUCAAACUGCCUGAGGGAAUGAUGUAAAAAAUGCUCAUCAAGAAUAUCCAUCUGGACAGGACAAAAAAUGACGCUGAGAGGACUUUGGAGAGUUUCUACCCAGUUUUCCUAAAUUCCAGGAAGUUUUCUUAGUAGAAAUGAUGAUGACUGAAAGCUACUUCAUUUCUGGGAUACUUGAGACUUCUGGUCUGCAUAUGUGACUGUAGGAAGAAAUAAAUAAUUUAUGUUUUGGAAAAACCCUAAUUACCUAAAGAUGACUCUCAUGGAGUAAAAGGGAAAUGGGCAUUUGUCUUGUUUUCCCAAACUCUUUCAGUACUCAGUGAAUAAAAAUUAAGGUAACAACAUGAAUUCAGAAGGGCUUCUUAUUUGAGCUCUCUUACCUGUGCAGACUUAUAUUAUUGUGUGUGUGACAGGCAUUUUCCUUAUUUUAUUUUAUACAAUGUGUGUGAAUAAAUUUUUAUACAACUUCUUUUAUUAAAGGCAGAGAAUGCUUCAGCUUACCUUUGUAUUAUCUACAUUUUGGAAACAGAAUGAAUAUUCAAAUGUUGAAUUAGCUCGAAU
rnacentral:lncRNA from 1 species